AACGAACGCUGGCGGCAGGCUUAACACAUGCAAGUCGAACGCCCCGCAAGGGGAGUGGCAGACGGGUGAGUAACGCGUGGGAACAUACCCUUUUCUACGGAAUAGCUCUGGGAAACUGGAAUUAAUACCGUAUACGCCCUACGGGGGAAAGAUUUAUCGGGGAAGGAUUGGCCCGCGUUGGAUUAGCUAGUUGGUGGGGUAAAGGCCUACCAAGGCGACGAUCCAUAGCUGGUCUGAGAGGAUGAUCAGCCACAUUGGGACUGAGACACGGCCCAAACUCCUACGGGAGGCAGCAGUGGGGAAUAUUGGACAAUGGGCGCAAGCCUGAUCCAGCCAUGCCGCGUGAGUGAUGAAGGCCUUAGGGUUGUAAAGCUCUUUCACCGAUGAAGAUAAUGACGGAAGUCGGAGAAGAAGCCCCGGCUAACUUCGUG
rnacentral:rRNA from 1 species